UGUUCUACAACCACCACGAUACGGGGCAUACUCAAAAGGGGCAUCUACAAGAUCCCAAUGAGGUGAUAUUGUCUCUACCUUGGUUACAAACAGUUUCAAAAGAAUAAAACAGCACAAUUAAUAAGAAGGAAAAUAAGAAAAGAAAGACGUAAAUGUUAAAAAAGACUUGAUUUUGUGAAGAUCAUCCACGUUAUAUUUUGAGCACUACAAGGACCCACUCUAGAACUAAACUUCAGGUCAUCAGUGGUAGAGACAAACCUGAUUUAUAGUUAUUGCUUAUAUAUGCACGUUUCAUCUACGGAGACACAUCAUUGAAGCAUUGAAAUGGUGGAAUACAUAAGAAACCCAAGGCAACAGAGGCAGAACUAGGUUAUAUCUUGGGGUGCCA
rnacentral:lncRNA from 1 species